ensembl:lncRNA MEG3 maternally expressed 3
AGCUGCCUGUUUCCAGCAGGUUCCCAGUGCCCCCGACAAGCCCCUGCUGGUGUCUCCAUCUCCUGCCAAGCAUCCUCCAGUGCCUCCUCCUGUGGGCCUGGCCUCAGGGCUAUGGACAGACUCCUGUCCCAUCCCAGAGACCCCUCGUGAUCGUGCCCUGGUGGGUGUUGCCCCCGCCUGCCUUUGCCUCCGCCGUGGCCCUGAGAGUCCUGGGCUCUGCCCCGCCCGGUCCCUUGCUCCCCACUCAGUUCUGGAUUUGGGGCUGCCCCUAACCCAGCCCGUUGCUGCUUUGCACCUUUUCCUGUCAUUGGGCAUCCCCCAGUAGUCACCCCACUCCACCGAAAAGUAAACUGCAGGUGAGGCCGUGCCCCGAGUCUUUCUUCGGUGUGUUUGGCUUUUCCGGGGCGCUUGCCUUGCCAUGAUUCUAACUCUCUGCCCUUCCCCAAGGCACGUGGGCCGUGGCCCGGCUGGGUCGGCUGAAGAACUGCGGAUGGAAGCUGCGGAAGAGGCCCUGAUGGGGCCCACCAUCCCGGACCCAAGUCUUCUUCCUGGCGGGCCUCUCGUCUCCUUCCUGGUUUGGGCGGAAGCCAUCACCUGGAUGCCUACGUGGGAAGGGACCUCGAAUGUGGGACCCCAGCCCCUCUCCAGCUCGAAAUCCCUCCACAGCCACGGGGACACCCUGCACCUAUUCCCACGGGACAGGCUGGACCCAGAGACUCUGGACCCGGGGCCUCCCCUUGAGUAGAGACCCGCCCUCUGACUGAUGGACGCCGCUGACCUGGGGUCAGACCCGUGGGCUGGACCCCUGCCCACCCCGCAGGAACCCUGAGGCCUAGGGGAGCUGUUGAGCCUUCAGUGUCUGCAUGUGGGAAGUGGGCUCCUUCACCUACCUCACAGGGCUGUUGUGAGGGGCGCUGUGAUGCGGUUCCAAAGCACAGGGCUUGGCGCACCCCA